CUGCUCUCCGCCAGAGAACUACAAGUGAAAAACUUCAAACUCAAAGGACUUGACGGUGUCCCAUAUCGACCUAGAGGAGCCUGUCCUAUAAUCGAUACUCCCCGCUCUACCUAACCUCAACUAGCACUCCACAGCCUAUAUACCGCCGUCGACAGUCUACCCCAUGAGGGCCCAACAGUAGACACAAUAGCCCAACCGCUAACACGUCAGGUCAAGGUGUAGCACAUGCUGAGGAAGAGAUUGGCUACAUUUUUUACAUUAAAAAACACGAAAUGCAACAUGAAACCCUGCAUGAAGGUGAAUUUAGUAGUAAGAUCUAAUGAGAGUAUUUAUCUUAACAACGCUCUGGGACGCGCACACACCGCCCGUCA
rnacentral:rRNA from 1 species